CCUACGGGAUGCACCAGUGGGGAAUAUUGCACAAUGGGCGCAAGCCUGAUGCAGCCAUGCCGCGUGUAUGAAGAAGGCCUUCGGGUUGUAAAGUACUUUCAGCGAGGAGGAAGGCAUUAAGGUUAAUAACCUUGGUGAUUGACGUUACUCGCAGAAGAAGCACCGGCUAACUCCGUGCCAGCAGCCGCGGUAAUACGGAGGGUGCAAGCGUUAAUCGGAAUUACUGGGCGUAAAGCGCACGCAGGCGGUUUGUUAAGUCGGAUGUGAAAUCCCCGGGCUCAACCUGGGAACUGCAUUCGAAACUGGCAAGCUUGAGUCUUGUAGAGGGGGGUAGAAUUCCAGGUGUAGCGGUGAAAUGCGUAGAGAUCUGGAGGAAUACCGGUGGCGAAGGCGGCCCCCUGGACAAAGACUGACGCUCAGGUGCGAAAGCGUGGGGAGCAAACAGGAUUAGAUACCCUCGUAGUC
rnacentral:rRNA from 1 species